AUAAAUAUUUAUAGAUUUCAUACAUUUUCAUCUCAUUUCUCUUACAUGCUGCUAUUAAAUUAAAUCAUUCACAACUACUGGACGUUUAAAGAUGAUUAAAUUUUUAAUGAAACAAUGACUUUAAAUUCUUGUACUUCCUUUUUAGGCUUUCAAUUAAAGACAUACGCCUAUCUGGCCAGGUUCGCUAUGAAGGUAAUAUCAUCGUCGGUGUCAACAUAGUUGGCAUCCACUUGCAGAACGGUAUUGGCAAUAUUGAGGCUGACGUCAAAUUGAUUGGUAAUGGAAAUGACUACUCCGAACGUGUGAAUAAGUUCUUAAACGACACUCUUCCCAAUACUCUCGAAAAAUACCAGUACGAAAUCAACGCGGUGAUUGCUCGUAUCAUCAUGGCGAUCAUCAAUCGAUCAUACUGAGAAGAUUUUAUGCAGAUUUAAUGAUUUUCAAAUGUGUGAAUGUAAAUUAUUAAUUUUGAUUUAUAAAAAUUCGGAUGUAUAAGUCAUAAGUUCAAUAUAUACGUUUAAAAAAAGA